UACGAAGGGGGCUAGCGUUGCUCGGAAUCACUGGGCGUAAAGCGCACGUAGGCGGCUUUUUAAGUCAGAGGUGAAAUCCUGGAGCUCAACUCCAGAACUGCCUUUGAUACUGGAGAGCUUGAGUCCGGGAGAGGUGAGUGGAACUGCGAGUGUAGAGGUGAAAUUCGUAGAUAUUCGCAAGAACACCAGUGGCGAAGGCGGCCCACUGGCCCGGUACUGACGCUGAGGUGCGAAAGCGUGGGGAGCAAACAGG
rnacentral:rRNA from 1 species